rnacentral:rRNA from 1 species
CAUCCUCCAAGGCUAAAUACUCCUGACUGACCGAUAGUGAACCAGUACCGUGAGGGAAAGGCGAAAAGAACCCCGGCGAGGGGAGUGAAAAAGAACCUGAAACCGUGUACGUACAAGCAGUGGGAGCCCCACCACUAAGCCAGUGGUGAACUCCACAUACGCAUCCUUUGCUGAGGAUACGGUUAACGGAGCGCAAGCGACGUUCAACCGCAAAAGAAGCAGAGGGGGCUUAGUGGUGGGGUGACUGCGUACCUUUUGUAUAAUGGGUCAGCGACUUAUAUUCUGUAGCAAGGUUAACCGUAUAGGGGAGCCGGAGGGAAACCGAGUCUUAAUUGGGCGUUAAGUUGCAGGGUAUAGACCCGAAACCCGGUGAUCUAGCCAUGGGCAGGUUGAAGGUUGGGUAACACUAACUGGAGGACCGAACCGACUAAUGUUGAAAAAGU